GACAGAGGGUGCAAACGUUGUUCGGAAUUACUGGGCGUAAAGCGCGUGUAGGCGGCUAUGCAAGUCGGAUGUGAAAGCCCUCGGCUCAACCGGGGAAGUGCACCCGAAACUGCAAAGCUAGAGUCUCGGAGAGGAUCGUGGAAUUCUCGGUGUAGGAGGUGAAAGUUCGUAAGAUAUCGAGAGGAAACACCGGUGGCGGAAGGCCGGCGAUCUGGAAGCGAUGACUGGACCGGCUAGAUCGCGAAAGCG
rnacentral:rRNA from 1 species